GACGAACCGUGCAAACGUUGUUCGGAAUCACUGGGCUUAAAGGGCGCGUAGGCGGGCUCCCAAGUCGGUGGUGAAAUCUUUCGGCCCAACCGGAAAAGUGCCGCCGAUACUGGGAGCCUCGAGGGAGGUAGGGGUCGAGGGAACUUCCGGUGGAGCGGUGAAAUGCGUAGAUAUCGGAAGGAACGCCGGUGGCGAAAGCGCUCGACUGGACCUCUUCUGACGCUGAGGCGCGAAAGCCAGGGGAGCAAACGGG
rnacentral:rRNA from 1 species